AUUAGAUUCUUCCCUCUUGUUUGCUCCCCUGAUUAUACCUCAAAGCUGCUAAUUGUGACAGGCAGUGGCUUCCUUAGGCUGAUGAGAGCGCUGGCUAAUGACAUCCUUAAGCCACUCUGCCAGCCUGGGGGCACGCACCUAUCUGUUUGUCCUUUCCAAUCAGACUUAAACCAGAAGGGCCAACGGGUCAAGGGGAAUGACUGUAACAGUGAAAACUGGAUCUCUUUCCUCUCCCUGCUUUCCUAAUGUCCUGGGUGCUGGCCCGGGGCUUGGCUUAUUAUAGACACAUAAAAUAGGCUGAAAUCCAGGUGGAGGGAGUUAUUGGUUGACAUCACUGAGGGGAAACUGGGCUCGGAUGAGGCAGGGCCCACCUGCUGCUGAAACCCAGAUUUACAGAAAGAAAGUUGCCCAGCAGGCCCUGGAUUUGGUUGCCUUCCUUUGCUAUUGUCACGGAUUGUAAACAGAUCCGUGGGUUGCUGGAGGCAGAUUGUCACAGAAUUCUAGAUGGAGUGUCAUGAAAAGGCAGAUAGAUUGUUGUGGAAUCAUGGAUUGAUUGUUGUACCUCUGAGGACAGAUUGUUGGAGAAAUGUAGAGGGAUUGUCAGGGAAUUGUAGAGGGACGGUUAGCAGAGAUGGAGGUGGAUUGUCGUGGUACUGUGGACAGAUUGUUGUGAGAACGUCCCCAUGCUAUGGGGGCUCGACAGGUCUGUGACAGCGGGCAGAUGGGCCUGUGAUCGAUGUGUUCCCCCUGUGCAAGGACAGCCGGAUGAAGGUGCAAACAGCCCGGCUAAUAGAUGAGAAAUGCAGAGCGGGGCUGAUAAGGCCCCAGCACCCGAACUGUGAUGAAUGGGGAAGGAUGCAGCGGGCUAUUUGUUUCCAAGAAAUGAGUGACUUCUGGGGAGAGAAAUGAGUGAGGAAGACAGAGAGUGGAAAAGAAGAGGCCAAAGGAGACACUUCCCUGAUUUCCUUGUUUUCUUCUGUGUGACAAGGAGCUCAAGAGCAAAGAGAAGCUCCCAAAGACUAAGCUACUUUCCAGCUAUAAAGGGGGCUGAAACUGGUACUGUGGAGUACUCAAAACUUAGACAUCAGAGAAGCCAGCAUCAUCUACUGCAUCCUAGUCAUCCUGACUUUUGACUUGCCAUUGGACUUUGAUGACUGGAAGAGAGCAGGUGAGGCUGAAGACUUUGUGCCAGCUCUGCCUCACUUAAAUCCAGUUCAU
rnacentral:lncRNA from 1 species